GUGCUGAUUUGACGUCACUCGUGCCAAAAAUCCGGACAAAUGUCACUUGAUCAAGGAGCAGAUCUGCAUCAGAUGAGAUCAGCUGACUACUUGUGUGUGUGCUGUGCAAAAAAUGUUUUUGAACAUUAAUAAGUCGUCUUUGUGCACACAUUGUUUACAGAUAUCAGACUGCAAAGAGCACUACAGAGAGUCAACAUUUCACCAGUUGUCAGUGGGAACAGCAUGAUGUAAAUACAAGACGGGCCCUCGUCCUUCGUGCACUUCCUGUGUACCUGCGUGAAGAUGCCUCCACGUUAUUCAGGACUUGUGAUUCAGCAGAUGGUCCAGACCUCACUGACACUCCUGUGGCUCUGCUGACAGUUGUCACGGAUGACACUACUGAUUCGGCCCUCUUCAGUCCCGAAAGCAUCUGCAUUGUCGUUGAGGAUGAAAUACUUGUGAAUGGUCCCACAAAUCUGGCUGAGUCAUUUCUCCUGCUCUUUGGGUACAUCUAUGCACUAGACCUACAAUACCCAAAGAAACUUGAGCUUACAUUCACAUUUAUCCAGAAGGUUGUGAUGUGCCUUGAGGACAACAAACCACUGAAAGGGCGUCUACUGAUGCUGAAGAAUGAUUUGUUCAAUGAGUGAAUCACUCAGAAUGGACUACUUGUUGAGCUGAGUAUUGAGGAAGCUUUUUUGUUUGUUUUUUUCCUAAUCAUUUGCCUCUUCUACCUCACAUUUAAGAUGAAUGACUGUUCAGUUCACUAUUCAUGUUUAAUGUUCUGUUGCCUAAUACGUAAAUGCACUGCCUUGAUGUUUGUUCCCUAUAAGUACAGCAGUGGAAACCAGUACUGUUUUUUUUAUGUAUUUUUAAAAAAGAAAGUGAGCUGCAGCUGUCAAGGUACAGUAAGUGUUAAAUGCCUCAAUGUUCUAAUAGCUGCAAUUGCUGUUAAUACUGAAAAUGUUAUUGA